UGGGGAAUAUUGCACAAUGGGCGGAAGCCUGAUGCAGCGACGCCGCGUGAGGGAUGACGGCCUUCGGGUUGUAAACCUCUUUCAGUAGGGACGAAGCGUAAGUGACGGUACCUGCAGAAGAAGCAACGGCUAAAUACGUGCCAGCAGCCGCGGUAAUACGUAUGUUGCGAGCGUUAUCCGGAAUUAUUGGGCUUAAAGGGCAUCUAGGCGGUAAGACAAGUUGAAGGUGAAAACCUGUGGCUCAACCAUAGGCUUGCCUACAAAACUGUUGAACUAGAGUACUGGAAAGGUGGGUGGAACUACACGAGUAGAGGUGAAAUUCGUAGAUAUGUGUAGGAAUGCCGAUGAUGAAGAUAACUCACUGGACAGAAACUGACGCUGAAGUGCGAAAGCUAGGGGAGCAAACAGG
rnacentral:rRNA from 1 species